rnacentral:rRNA from 1 species
AUUGAACGCUGGCGGCAGGCCUAACACAUGCAAGUCGAGCGGGGUUUUCGGACCUAGCGGCGGACGGGUGAGUAAUGCGUAGGAAGCUACCCGAUAGAGGGGGAUACCAGUUGGAAACGACUGUUAAUACCGCAUAAUGUCUACGGACCAAAGUGUGGGACCUUCGGGCCACAUGCUAUCGGAUGCGCCUACGUGGGAUUAGCUAGUUGGUGGGGUAAUGGCUCACCAAGGCGACGAUCCCUAGCUGGUUUGAGAGGAUGAUCAGCCACACUGGAACUGGGACACGGUCCAGACUCCUACGGGAGGCAGCAGUGGGGAAUAUUGGACAAUGGGCGCAAGCCUGAUCCAGCCAUGCCGCGUGUGUGAAGAAGGCCUUCGGGUUGUAAAGCACUUUCAGUAGGGAGGAAGGAUGUUGUGUUAAUAGCACAGCAUUUUGACGUUACCUACAGAAGAAGCACCGGCUAACUCUGUGCCAGCCGCCGCAGUAAAAC